GACGAACGCUGGCGGCGUGCUUAACACAUGCAAGUCGAACGGAAAGGCCCUGCUUUUGUGGGGUGCUCGAGUGGCGAACGGGUGAGUAACACGUGAGUAACCUGCCCUUGACUUUGGGAUAACUUCAGGAAACUGGGGCUAAUACCGGAUAGGAGCUCCUGCUGCAUGGUGGGGGUUGGAAAGUUUCGGCGGUUGGGGAUGUACUCGCGGCUUAUCAGCUUGUUGGUGGGGUAGUGGCUUACCAAGGCUUUGACGGGUAGCCGGCCUGAGAGGGUGACCGGCCACAUUGGGACUGAGAUACGGACCAGACUCCUACGGGAGGCAGCAGUGGGGAAUAUUGCACAAUGGGCGGAAGCCUGAUGCAGCAACGCCGCGUGCGGGAUGACGGCCUUCGGGUUGUAAACCGCUUUCGCAUGUGACGAAGCGUGAGUGACGGUAAUGGGUAAAGAAGCACCGGCUAACUACGUG
rnacentral:rRNA from 1 species